AAGAACGACUCUCGGCAACGGAUAUCUCGGCUCUUGCAUCGAUGAAGAACGUAGCGAAAUGCGAUACUUGGUGUGAAUUGCAGAGUCCCGUGAACCAUCGAGUCUUUGAACGCAAGUUGCGCCCGAAGCCAUUAGGCCGAGGGCACGCCUGCCUGGGUGUCACAC
rnacentral:rRNA from 1 species